GAAAUGCGAUAAGUAAUGUGAAUUGCAGAAUUCAGUGAAUCAUCGAAUCUUUGAACGCACAUUGCACCCCUUGGCAUUCCAGGGGGUAUGCCUGUCCGAGCGUCAUAGCAACCGUCAAGCCUGGCUUGGUCUUGGACGUCACCCGUGGGUGCGUCUCAAAGCGAGUGGCGGUGCCGCCCAGCCCCGAGCGCAGUAAGUCUCUCGCUCUGGGGUGUGGGCGCCGUGCCUGCCAGAACCCUCAACUCACAGGUUUGACCUCGGAUCAGGUAGGGAUACCCGCUGAACUUAA
rnacentral:misc_RNA from 1 species